rnacentral:rRNA from 1 species
GACGAACGCUGGCGGCGUGCCUAAUACAUGCAAGUCGAACGCUUUUUCUUUCACCGGAGCUUGCUCCACCGAAAGAAAAAGAGUGGCGAACGGGUGAAUAACACGUGGGUAACCUGCCCAUCAGAAGGGGAUAACACUUGGAAACAGGUGCUAAUACCGUAUAACAAUCGAAGCCGCAUGGUUUUGAUUUGAAAGGCGCUUUCGGGUGUCGCUGAUGGAUGGACCCGCGGUGCAUUAGCUAGUUGGUGAGGUAACGGCUCACCAAGGCGACGAUGCAUAGCCGACCUGAGAGGGUGAUCGGCCACAUUGGGACUGAGACACGGCCCAAACUCCUACGGGAGGCAGCAGUAGGGAAUCUUCGGCAAUGGACGAAAGUCUGACCGAGCAACGCCGCGUGAGUGAAGAAGGUUUUCGGAUCGUAAAACUCUGUUGUUAGAGAAGAACAAGGAUGAGAGUAACUGUUCAUCCCUUGACGGUAUCUAACCAGAAAGCCACGGCUAACUACGUGCCAGCCGCCGCUGUAA